UUGCAGGACUCAAGCCCACUGCCCGCUCAAGAAAGUUUAUGGGCCUCAACAGUCAUUGCUCUCCUGUCUUCCUCUCCAACUCCGUCGAUCCGCCGCCCCCUUCAGUCCCGUCCCGUCGCACUUCCUCGAUCUCCUCCACUCCACUUCAGCCCACCCCCCCACAAUGGCGUCUCCUCGCCGCCGCUCCCUCCCACUCCGCUUCCUCAUCUUCAUCCCUGUCCCUCUCUUCCUUGUCCUCCUCCUCUUCCACCGCUCCUCUCAUCCUCCCGCCCCGCUCCUCCACACCGCCGGCUCUGGCUCCGGCCCCAGCCCCGAUCCCCGCCGCUUCUCCCUCCUCAUCAAGCUCCUCGCCUACAACCGGCCGGCCGCGUUUCGCCGCUGCCUCCGCUCCCUCGCCGCCGCUGACUAUGACGGGGACCGCGUCGCGCUCCACGUCCUCCUCGACCACAGCACGACCAACUCCUCGGUGCCCCCCCUCGCCGCGUCGCACGAGAUCCUUGACUUCGUCGACGCGUUCCCGUGGCCGCACGGCGAGAAGCGCGUGCACUACCGCGCCGCCAACGCCGGGCUCCAGGCGCAGUGGAUCGAGGCGUGGUGGCCCGGCUCCGACGACGAAUUCGCCUUCGUCGUCGAGGACGACCUCCAGGUCUCGCCGCUCUACUACAGGUUCCUAAAGCGGGUGGUCAUGAGGUACUACUACGACCGUGAGAACUACAGCCCCUACGUGUUCGGCGCUUCGCUGCAGCGUCCUCGGUUCGUCGCAGGUAAACAUGGAAACAAGAUACAGCUGGAUAGUGAGACUCGGCUUUUCUUGUAUCAGAUGGUAGGCACGUGGGGUCAACUUCUCUUUCCAAAACCAUGGAAAGAAUUUCGAUUAUGGUAUGAUGACCACAAAGCCAAAGGACUCAAACCUAUUCUCCAAGGCAUGAAAACUACAGGAUGGUACAAGAAGAUGGGUGAGAGAAUAUGGACUCCUUGGUUCAUUAAAUUUGUCCACUCACGUGGAUACUUCAAUAUCUACACAAACUUCCUGAAGGAAAGGGCCCUCAGCGUCUCUCAUAGGGAUGCAGGUGUGAACUAUGGGAAAAGUGUUGGGCCAGAUUCUACUUUGUUGGAUGGGAAGAAUCUUGAUUUCAAUUUAUGGGAAUUGCAACCUCUAAAGAAGCUAAAGUGGUAUGAUUUCUGCUUCAAUGAAGUUAUUCCAGGAAGAAUUGUUACAAAAAGUAGUGAACUUGGUUCUGUGUUCAAAUCUGUACAAUUAAAAAGUACUGUUGUUCUUGUAACUCUGUACUCAAUAGAAGAGAGAUUUGCAAGAAACUUGAUUUGCCAUCUUGACAAGGCAGGCAUGAAGAACUAUAUUUUCCUUGGUGACAAUUCAGAGUUUCUGGAUGACCUUGCUCAUAGAGGAUAUCCUGUCAUUGAUGGUAUGAAAUUUCUUCAGAGCAUCAAAGUUAGUAGUUUGCAGCGCUCUGAUGAUUUUGUUAAGGAAGGAUUGGUUAAAUCUUAUGUGAUAAAAGCUUGCUUGGACCUGGGGUACAAUCUAUGGCUACUAAAUGGAAAUAUGAUUUCACUUGGCAAUAAGUUGAUCGAGCCAUCAGAUCAGUCUGUUGACUUGUUUAUUGCAGAUGAAGGGUUGAUGUUUAUAAGGAGCUCGCUAGACUUGAAAAACAAAUGGAAUGAACUUACUAUGUCGAGAGUGAAAGCGAUGUGUACAUCUAGUGAAUUUUCUGUUUCCAUCAAACAGAAGAGUUUUGUCCAUAUGCUUUCUGAAGUGCUUGCGAGCAGUGCUGGUGUUAGGCUGGGAAAACUGGAUGAGGCUAUCAGAGUUAUUGAAUUAGGGCCUAGCACCUCAAACAGAUCAAUAUCAGAAGACCAAAGUAAUGUGCUUUUCUGGUCUCGCAGUAAGGCUUCAGAUUCAGUUCAAAAGCAACUUGAAAAUAUGGACUUAUGGUUGGUUGACUCAGAUUCGUCUUGUAGUGCUGUUGUUUGUCACCAAAAGCAGAAGUAGCCAGGUUGUUUUGGCACAUUACUUUUGCUUCCCUGAGAAAAACAUUUGUGCCAUGAUAGGAAUCCAGGGUAACCGACUAAGUGGCACUUAUAUACUUUCCAAAAUCAUAUGAUGACAUAUCUUUGGAUGCAUGAGGGGGAUCAGCCAUUGUUUGAUCUUUGUAGAUUAUGCGAUGAGGCUGUUCGAUCAAAUGUCUGUUUGUGAAUACAGUUGGCUAUGCCACCGCAGAUAACCAUUUUGGAGUUCUGCUUCUGCAUGAAUUUUAUGCUGAACACAGAUAUAGUUCUGAGGUUCUGAAUACUUGGAUCCUUUUUUGGAUUGGUGAGGGCUAACAAAGUCUUCAGUUAGCUAACCUGUUAAUUCAACUCACAGGAGCAGUUUUGAACAUUCUAUCCUGCUGCAUACCAUGUUGAUAGCAAUGUCCCAACAACAAUCCCUGCAGACAUUCAAACUGCAGCACCCAUGGGACAGAUGUAGAAAGUGUGCAUCUGAAGAAAAUCCGGCAGAUGCGGUUGGUGCGGUGCACAUUUUCACUGGCAGAAGCAACGUCUGCUGGAUAAAGAGAGAAAGGGAAACCGAGCUGGAAAGUGGUUCGACAAUUUUGACAGAUCGAUCAUAGAACCCAUAGACAAUUCUGCAGCAGCGACUAGCAAGUGUGGUGUUGGUGUGUGCCGAAGAGAUCUCCCAACCAGAGUUGACGCUCAUGUUUCCUUAGCAGCACGAUUUCCUCCCACCUGACCUGAACAAGGUGUGUGGCAUCAUCUGUUCGCUGUGUAUCCAACUUGGAACACAAGCAAGGAUGUACUAGCUGCGCUGCGACAGAACGGUCCGCCGGGAAAAUGACAUGCGGGUUGUACCGGAUGCGCCGUUGGCAUCGCAUAUGACGACGUGACAAUAAUAUGCAUCGUUUCAGGUUGGGAUGCGAGUGUUGUGAGCGUGAUAUCUGCUCUGCAGGGCUGCAAGUUGCUGAGAUAGGUUUCCUCAUGGCUGGGGCCUGGAGUUGCAGACUUGCAGUUUAAUCAUGUUGUUAAGUGGCCAAUCCUUGAAUAAGAUCAUGUUAGGUAUAGCAA